GAUGAACGCUGGCGGCGUGCCUAAUACAUGCAAGUCGAGCGAACAGACGAGGAGCUUGCUCCUCUGACGUUAGCGGUGGACGGGUGAGUAACACGUGGAUAACCUACCUAUAAGACUGGGAUAACUACGGGAAACCGGAGCUAAUACCGGAUAACAUGUUGAACCGCAUGGUUCAACAGUGAAAGACGGUCUUGCUGUCACUUAUAGAUGGAUCCGCGCCGCAUUAGCUAGUUGGUAAGGUAACGGCUUACCAAGGCAACGAUGCGUAGCCGACCUGAGAGGGUGAUCGGCCACACUGGAACUGGGACACGGGCCAGACUCCUACGGGAGGCAGCAGUAGGGAAUCUUCCGCAAUGGGCGAAAGCCUGACGGAGCAACGCCGCGUGAGUGAAGAAGGUCUUCGGAUCGUAAAACUCUGUUAUUAGGGAAGAACAAAUGUGUAAGUAACUAUGCACGUCUUGACGGUACCUAAUCAGAAAGCCACGGCUAACUACGUGCCAGCAGCCGCGGUAA
rnacentral:rRNA from 1 species